rnacentral:snoRNA from 1 species
CUCAGCUGUAGGAAACUGCCUAGGUUGCCUUUCACCUACGCAGUUGCUUCACUGCUGGGAGAAAAGCAGCCAGUAGUUGACAGGCAUUCUGGAACCGGUUAAUGCCAGCUCUGUGUUAACUGUACCAGUGUUACAGCAGAGUUGCUGGAUUUAUU